GACACUAAUCGAUUUGGUUCAAUUUUCAUGCGAUAAGACGUAAUUUUAUUUGAUUACCCUCAUUAUUCGCAACAGUUUUCAUUACAUUUGAUUUGAAAUCGAUUUUAUCGGAUUUUCCCCAUUUUCUAAGUUUUGGUCUGGUUUUUGUCGGUUUUAUGCUUUCCAUUUUCAUCAAAAUGGCAAAAAUCCGAAAUAUCCGAAAAAAUCGAACAUAAUGACGAAAAUCGUCUGAGAAUCGCCCAAUACCGUUUAAAAUCGCUAAAAGCGUUUCGACGUCGCGACGCCGUGCAAUUCAAUUUGACAGCUCUUCCACCUAACAAAUCAGCUGCGUCGAUCCAUCAGCUGUUCAAUCAAAACAAGUUCUGAGUCGAAUCCACAGUUCAACAACUAUGAACUAUCUCAGGAAUUUAGGUGAGUUUUCAUUGAAAUAAGAUGCAGAAAGAAAGCAUUGUUGUUUUAUGUUUAUUGUCGUAUUUUCAGACUGAUCAAACGACACCAUGUGGAAGGCAUCUUGAGGCGCAAAAACCGGAAUUAGGAUGAACGGUUCCGAUCGGCACUGGAAAAGGAACAGCGGAGAUCAUAUUAUCAAAUUGCAGAAUCGGUCAGAACUGGGUGGAAAACUGCCAAAAAAAGAAGAUUACCAAGCAAAUCGGAAGAGCCCUCAGACGAGUACCGCAGGAUUAUUUGGAGUAGCUACCAGCGGUUACCAGUAAACCGGUUUUACGAACAUCUCUGGACAUCCCCAUUUUCGGAGGAUUCGGUGCUCAGAUUCAAACCGACAGCCUGAGGAUUGCUCUCGGAAACUGCCA